CGAGCCGGGCGGACGGCCGCGUGAAGCUCCCCUCACCAGGGGCUCUUCCCGAGGAACGUCCGGGCUCCACAGGGCAAGGUGGUGGCUAACGGCCACCCGGGGUGACCCGCGGGACAGUGCCACAGAAAACAGACCGCCGGAGGCUUCGGUCUCCGGUAAGGGUGAAACGGUGGUGUAAGAGACCACCAGCGCCUGAGGUGACUCAGGCGGCUAGGUAAACCCCACCUGGAGCAAGGUCAAGAGGGGCCCUGGAGACAGGACCCUGCGCGGACGAUCGAGGGCUGCCCGCCCGAGUCCGCGGGUAGACCGCACGAGGCCCGCAGCAAUGCGGACCCUAGAUGGAUGGCCGUCUCCCCGGCCGCCGCGAGGCGACCGGGCGACAGAACCCGGCGUACAGCCCGACUCGUCUG
rnacentral:RNase_P_RNA from 1 species